rnacentral:rRNA from 1 species
UACGUAGGGACCGAGCGUUGUCCGGAAUCAUUGGGCGUAAAGAGCGUGUAGGCGGCCACUUAAGUCCUGCGUGAAAUCUUGCGGCUCAACCGCAAGCGGUCGUGGGAAACUGGGUGGCUAGAGUGCGGGAGAGGAGAGUGGAAUUCCUGGUGUAGCGGUGGAAUGCGCAGAUAUCAGGAAGAACACCCGUGGCGAAGGCGGCUCUCUGGAACGCAACUGACGCUGAGACGCGAAAGCGUGGGAAGCAAACAGG